rnacentral:lncRNA from 1 species
AGUGAAAAACUAUAGAAAACAUUCAUAAAUAAAUAUAUAUAUGUAAAGAGAAUAUAUUCUCUUUAAACUUGGCGCGCUAAGUAUGAUCCGCGCGCCUCUAUGAUGGUAUAUAAGCAAAGAAAAGUGAGAACGUAUUUAGUUUAUAAAUUUCGUUAAAUAAAGAAACAUUAGUAGUUGUUAUUAACCGUACGGGUGAUCAACGAAUAGUGUUGUGAAAGAAGGACGAAUAACUGACGUUAUCAUCGUCGUUUCUCUUAUUUUACAGAGAAACUAAUUGGACAACUUAUAUGGACCAUUCUAAACCCACGAUAUAGAAAAA